UGACGCCUGCCCGGUGCUGGAAGGUUAAGAGGAGUGCUUAGCGUAAGCGAAGGUAUGAAUUGAAGCCCCAGUAAACGGCGGCCGUAACAAUAACGGUCCUAAGGUAGCGAAAUUCCUUGUCGGGUAAGUUCCGACCCGCACGAAAGGCGUAAUGAUUUGGGCACUGUCUCAACGAGAGACUCGGUGAAAUCAUAGUACCUGUGAAGAUGCAGGUUACCCGCGACAGGACGGAAAGACCCCGUGGAGCUUUACUGUAGCCUGAUAUUGAAAUUCGGCACAGCUUGUACAGGAUAGGUAGGAGCCUUUGAAACGUGAGCGCUAGCUUACGUGGAGGCGUUGGUGGGAUACUACCCUAGCUGUGUUGGCUUUCUAACCCGCACCACUUAUCGUGGUGGGAGACAGUGUCAGGCGGGCAGUUUGACUGGGGCGGUCGCCUCCCAAAUGGUAACGGAGGCGUACAAAGGUUUCCUCUGAACGGGUAGAAAUCGUAUCUAGAGUGUAAAGGCAUAAGGAAGCUUGACUGUGAGACCUACAAGUCGAGCAGGGACGAAAGUCGGUCUUAGUGAUCUGACGGUACUGAGUGGAAAGGCCGUCACUCAACGGAUAAAAGUUACUCUAAGGAUAACAGGCUGAUCUCCCCCAAGAGUUCACAUCGACGGGGAGGUUUGGCACCUCGAUGUCGGCUCAUCGCAUCCUGGGGCGGUAGUACGUCCCAAGGGUUGGGCUGUUCGCCCAUGAAAGCGGUACGCGAGCUGGGUUCAGAACGUCGUGAGACAGUUCGGUCCAUAUCCGGUGUAGGCGUUAGAAUAUUGAGAGGAGCCUUCUUUAGUACGAGAGGACCGAGAAGGACAUACCUCUGGUGUACCAGUUAUCGUGCCAACGGUAAACGCUGGGUAGCUAUGUAUGGAGUGGAUAACCGCUGAAAGCAUCUAAGUGGGAAGCCCACCUCAAGAUAAGUAUUCUCAUCACGUAAGUGAGUAAGGUCACGGUAAGACUAACCGUUUGAUAGGCAUUAAGUGUAAGUACAGUAAUGUAUGUGCUGAGAUGUCCUAAUAGACCGAGGACUUG
rnacentral:rRNA from 12 species